UACGUAGGUGGCAAGCGUUGUCCGGAUUUACUGGGCGUAAAGAGCGCGCAGGCGGUCGUUCAAGUCGCGUGUGAAAGCCCCCGGCUCAACUGGGGAGGGUCACGCGAUACUGAUCGACUCGAAGGCAGGAGAGGGUAGUGGAAUUUCAAGUGUAGCGGUGAAAUGCGUAGAUAUUUGGAGGAACACCAGUGGCGAAGGCGACUUUCUGGUCUGUAACUGACACUGAGGCGCGAAAGCGUGGGGAGCAAACAGG
rnacentral:rRNA from 1 species